AUUGAACGCUGGCGGCAUGCCUUACACAUGCAAGUCGAACGGUAACAGGUCUUCGGAUGCUGACGAGUGGCGAACGGGUGAGUAAUACAUCGGAACGUGCCUAGUAGUGGGGGAUAACUACUCGAAAGAGUGGCUAAUACCGCAUGAGAUCUACGGAUGAAAGCAGGGGAUCGCAAGACCUUGUGCUACUAGAGCGGCCGAUGGCAGAUUAGGUAGUUGGUGGGAUAAAAGCUUACCGAGCCGACGAUCUGUAGCUGGUCUGAGAGGACGAUCAGCCACACUGGGACUGAGACACGGCCCAGACUCCUACGGGAGGCAGCAGUGGGGAAUUUUGGACAAUGGGCGCAAGCCUGAUCCAGCAAUGCCGCGUGCAGGAUGAAGGCCUUCGGGUUGUAAACUGCUUUUGUACGGAACGAAAAGCCCUGGGUUAAUACCCUGGGGUCAUGACGGUACCGUAAAAAUAAGCACCGGCUAACUACGUGCCAGCCGCCGCAGUAACAC
rnacentral:rRNA from 1 species